rnacentral:rRNA from 1 species
GGUGAACACGGAGCUUGCUCUGUGGGAUCAGUGGCGAACGGGUGAGUAACACGUGAGCAACCUGCCCCUGACUCUGGGAUAAGCGCUGGAAACGGCGUCUAAUACUGGAUACGAGUAGCGGCCGCAUGGUCAGUUACUGGAAAGAUUUAUUGGUUGGGGAUGGGCUCGCGGCCUAUCAGCUUGUUGGUGAGGUAAUGGCUCACCAAGGCGUCGACGGGUAGCCGGCCUGAGAGGGUGACCGGCCACACUGGGACUGAGACACGGCCCAGACUCCUACGGGAGGCAGCAGUGGGGAAUAUUGCACAAUGGGCGGAAGCCUGAUGCAGCAACGCCGCGUGAGGGAUGACGGCCUUCGGGUUGUAAACCUCUUUUAGCAGGGAAGAAGCGAAAGUGACGGUACCUGCAGAAAAAGCACCGGCUAACUACGUGCCA